rnacentral:rRNA from 1 species
GCGGCGUGGAUAAGGCAUGCAAGUCGAACGCCUAACUCGCAAGAGUUAGGAGUGGCAAACGGGUUAGUAAUACACGGGUAACAUACCCCAGAGCGAGGCACAACUCUCCGAAAGGAGAGCUAAUUCCUCGUAAUCUCGUCUUUUGAAAUUAUUGACGAGCAUAGGUGGUUGGAGGUUACUCCGACUACCGCUUUGGGAGUGGCCCGUGCUCUAUCAGCUAGUUGGUAAGGUAAUGGCUUACCAAGGCGACGACGGAUAGGGGGUGUGGGAGCACGACCCUCAACAUUGGCACUGAGAUUAGUUAAAUAGUCUCCUGCAAGAGCAAUCUUGCAGAAAAACUUAGCUCAUAACGGAGAAACCCUUAAAAUAUUAGUGAGUACGUCUAUUGUUUGGUAUAAUAGAUCAAUGCUUGCUGACAAAGGGCAACCCCGUGGGAAGUUGAUUAAAGCGAAAGCAACAGAUUUAGCUUUUGUUGCCGGUUUUUUAGAAGGUGACGGAUGUAUUUCCGCGAAGAUAUCUCCACAAACAGAAAUGAAGUUUGGUUUCAGAAUUAGGGUUAUCAUAAGUUUUUCACAAAACAUGAGAAAUCGCGCUAUUCUGGAACACGUACAAAAAAUUCUGGGAAAUAUCGGAGUAAUUGGAGAUUAUCCGGAACACGAGAAUGGAUAUUCGGAACUGGUGAUAAGAGACAAAGAGGAUGUAAAAAUAAUCUUAAAAAGAUUGAAACCCUUUUUGUUUCAAAAAAAGACUCAAGCUGUUCUUGCGGAAAAAAUCUUGCAAAUUCUGCCAAAAAGGCAGGUGGCGACGAAAGACGCUUUUUUGCAAGCUUUGUCUUUAUGCGAAAAAAUCAGAGGAUUAAACUCUGGCUCUGGGUUAAAGAGUAAACACGACAUAAAGACUAUUCGGCAAAAAAUAAUCAACCCCGUAACGACUGAACCCAUAAGAGGGUGAGAUAGGAACGUGAUAAUUUUGAUACUUUUAUCCUAUCAGACGCUAAGCUCCAAUUAUUAACUAAUUGGAUGAAGGUAUAGUCUGCACUCCUUGAAAGAGGGGAAUAUGUGACUGGCCAAACACCUACGGGUGGCUGCAGUCGAGAAUCUUCGGCAAUGCGCGAAAGCGUGACCGAGCGACGCCGC